rnacentral:snRNA from 11 species
UGUUGAUCUCUAUGAUUUCCCCAAAUUCUGGAAACUUGACUGCAUAAUUUGUGGUAGUGGGGGACUGCAUUCAUGUUACCCCCUC